UAGAAAUAUUGCAUUAUCUUUGAUCAAAGUUCAAAAUUAAUUUUGUUCUUGUUCUUGUAGUUUAAUGGCACUCAGCAUACGAGAAGUGUGUGAUGUUGAGUAUAAAGUAUUUUAUAAGCUGAAUAAUUUUGGUGUUUCUACAAAAUUAUUAGGACCUGCAUAAUAAAUCCCCGAGAGAUCGAUCAUCACCAUCAUCACUUAUUGAGCUCAUUGAUAUCCAAAAUGGCAGUUAGUUCACUGUUUAACGGUGAUGACAUUCAAGUUUUCAUCAAUGAUAGUAGUGAAACAAGUGAGGUAAAGUGUGCUUUUUGUUAUAAAUUUAAAAUAGAAAUCAGAUCAGCACAAAAAAUUGUUGAACUGCUACAAGAAGAGAUAAACACGCCCAAUCGUACUGUAGCGCCAGAAGAGGUACUGUCCAACAUCAAGAUUAAGCCCAAUGACAGCUCACUGGAGCUACAGAUAGCCCUCAAGAAAGCACGGAGACUGAAGCUGCAGGAGGCUGUUACAGAAUCAAAGAACAGUGUAGAAAAGGUGGCAGAGUCAGUACUGGAGAGAAGCUCAGAAGGAAACACGGAAGGUGGUUCCAUUGUGCUGAAUGCUACUGCAGAAUUCUACCAUACGUUGGGUGACAUCCCCCUUUAUGGUCUGGCUGGCAACGGAUGAGGACGCUCAGGAACUAAGAUGAUGAAAAGUUUGGGCUUCACGAGCGGUACAGUGGUCCGACCUCAGACUUCAAAGAAAAGGAGGGCUACAAACCAAAUGUUAAACUCAACUACACAGAUGAUGAUGGACAUGUACUUAAUGCAAAGGAGGCUUUCAGAUACCUGUCUCAUGAAUUUCAUGGAAAGGGACCUGGCAAAAAUAAAGUGGAGAAACGAAUGAAGAGAACUGAACAGGAGGGUGGCAACCAUCUCAAAAACCAAACUGCAAAUUCUUCAUGAAAUAUGCUGGCACCAACUCUCAACUUUGGCGUGGACUUAUGUUUUUAUUGUUUCUUACUGUCUGGAAUAUCGUCUCUAUUUUUAAAUAAGACACAGCUUGCAGCUGCCAACAGUGCCUAUGUGUGCCGGAAGGAAGACCACAGAGUUGAUGUCUCAUUCAGAUGAGUACAGUGGUUCUCCUGCUUCCUUAG